rnacentral:rRNA from 1 species
UGAGGAAUAUUGCGCAAUGGGGGAAACCCUGACGCAGCGACGCCGCGUGAGUGAUGAAGGCCUUCGGGUUGUAAAGCUCUGUCAGAGGGAAAGAAAGGGUAGGCGGCUAAUACCCGUCUACAUUGACGGUACCCUCAGAGGAAGCACCGGCUAACUCCGUGCCAGCAGCCGCGGUAAUACGGAGGGUGCUAGUGUUAUUCGGAAUCACUGGGCGUAAAGAGCACGUAGGCGGAUAGGUAAGUCAGAUGUGAAAUCCCGUAGCUCAACUUCGAAACUGCAUUUGAUACUGCCUGUCUUGAGUGUGGUAGAGGGGGAUGGAAUUCCCGGUGUAGAGGUGAAAUUCGUAGAUAUCGGGAGGAACACCAGAGGCGAAGGCGAUCCCCUGGGCCACUACUGACGCUGAGGUGCGAAAGCGUGGGGAGCAAACA